GUGCUCGCUUCACCAGCACAUAUAAUGAAAUUGGAACAAAACAGAGAUUAGCAUGGCUCCUGAACAAGGAUGAUAUGCCAAUUCAUGAAUUGAUCCAUAUUUUU